GUCGGGCUCCUCGCCUGCGCAGCCGUCGCGCCGCGCUCCUCGGCGCUCAACGUCGGCCUCCAGACCCUCGACGCCGACGGCGACGGCGUGGUACGUGCACGAUCUACGCAUGUACUAUGACCUAGUACACUUUAUAGCACGUUAUUAAGCUGGGUAUGCUUUGCUUUGUCGACUAACUCUCGGCGGCCGGCGGCGGCGGGACGCGGACGCAGAGCAAGCAGCAGGCGUGCAGCCGAACGUGCGAGUCCGACCACUGCACGAGUACGCACGCGCAUCACCUUCUUCUUCUUCUUUAGAACUUAGAAGUAACUGCAUGGUAGCUCACACCGAGAUGUUUGUCGAUGAUCUCUUGACGCAGCGGCGCCAUUCCUGCGGUACGGCAAGUACUGCGGCAUCCUCUACAGCGGGUGCCCCGGCGAGCGGCCGUGCGACCCCCUCGACGCCUGCUGCAUGCACCACGACAACUGCGUCCUCGUCAAGAGUACGUACCCCAACAACCAAUUGAUCCAUCAACUAUUUAUGUAGCCGGCGUCUGACUCUCGAUCGGCACAUCAGAUGACUACCUGAGCACGGAGUGCAACGAGGGCCUGCUGGAGUGCCUGGCGGAGUUGCGGGACGGCACGGGCACCUUCGAGGGGAACAAGUGCAUGAUCGACGAGGUCAUCGACGUGAUCACCGUCGUCAUCGAGGCCGCCGUCGUCGCCGGCCGGGUCCUGCACAAGCCCUAGCUACAUAGUACCACAACGGCGCGCGCGCCGAGCCGGCCGGCGAGCUGGGGGGACAAGCAACAACUUGCUCGGUAGGUGGGUGGUGCAUGCCUUUUCUGCUUGGUGUCACUCGUCAGUCACGGUGUGUGUCCGUGUCCUGUCACGCGCGCACCGGCGCCUCACGUACAGUCUCGCGGGCACGGGCUAAGAUCGACGACGGCGCCGGAUUUUGCGACAUGUAUAUGGGCAUGGUUACCAUCACCUGCUUUGCAGGAUUUUAUUUACUUGAUGAGUUGGUUCGUCUUUGCCUACACGCAUCAUGCCCAGCUCGUACGCUACGUGUUCAUGUCAUGCAUAAUUGGUAUACUUACUACACUGUUGUUACCACUGUUCAAAUUUCAGUGAAUUUUGCUGCUUAAAGCUACUUCGGAUUUUGGGGGUAAUCUAUAGAUCAGUACCGUAAUUUGUGUCGUCUGAAUUAUGUAUAGAACAAAAGCAACUUGUCCAUUAAUUGGAUUAUUAUAUGAUGUUGAUGUGAUGGCGACGCCUUUCAGAGUGUACGGCUGCCCCGGUUCGAUCUGCAUAUAACGUGAUUACUUUUGCACACAAUCGUUUUCUUUCUUUAGAGAAAGGACUCUUUGGCUAGGUUUCUCUUUCCUCCCGCUGGUGCCCUGGUGCCCUCGCCGGUCUACCUCGUCUUUGUCUUAGGCCAUGGAGGCGCGGUGGAUUCCGGCCUUUACUGACGGGAGGGUUUCGUUUUUCCAUGAUUUUUGAGUUUUGUUAGGAUUUGUGUCCUACUCAGAAAGGUGAAGCGGCGACGGCUUUCUGAAAUGGAAUAAGGUUCUAUAUAGCCCAAUUCCGGUGGUGUUUCUAGCACCGUCGGAGGGCGUGUGAAGUGUCUCCAACGGAUCUCGUGGGAUUCGGUCAGCAUUUGUCUUCAGUGGAUCCACGUGGAUCCGAUCUUUGUUCGUCUGUGUUUGUGUGCCUAUAAGUUGGAUCCUUCCGAUCUACACUUCUCUUCAUUGGCGUGGUUGUUGUUUUGAUGCAUUGGUCCUAUGGGACCUUAGCACGAUGACUUUCCUAUUAUCUACUACAAUAAGGUUUGCCUGGCUCCGAUGAGGAAGCGACAAAGACAGGGCGUGCCUUCGGCUCGCUCUAGUGCUUGUCGUCGUCGCUAGGUGGUCUACGAACCUGGAUGUAUUUUUUACUUCUGAAAUUCUUUGUACUACCUUGACAGUUGAUGAAUAGAUUGAAAGUUUUCUCGCAAAAAAAGUGAUUAGUUUUGCAGUAAUGCU
rnacentral:lncRNA from 1 species